rnacentral:lncRNA from 1 species
GGAAAACCCUUCUUUCCCUUUCUAGCUUUCUCCGGGAAAAUUUUCCGAUCCGUUGCAAACCGUUCAUCAUCUUCCGUUCUGUAACAGAUCUCGACGACCUGCGAGGCUGCGAUGGAGAUUCGCAUCGGAAGAGGCUAAGCGUGGGCCAUCGCCGCCGGAUUCAUGGCCGCUCUCGCUGCCAUUUCCGCCAAGUUCUUCUCCUCUCAGGUGACUCGACCUCAUCCCUUCAUCUCCGAUUGCGCGCUUGUUCGUGCGAGCUAAUCUAUAGUUGUCCCCCGCCGUUCUGCUUCGGCACUCGAGGCUGUGCGAUUGUUCCAGCCAAUGCAAAUCGAAAUCUGGCGUGUGUGUUGGACCGUGUCCCUAAUGUAUCUCCGGCCGAAGCACUCGACGUCGCGUGGCGCGAUGUGAGCUGCGGCCGAUAGCCGGUGCGCGGCGAUACGUCCAAUUUUUGGUUGUUUGAGGAUUAGCGGGAGCUCUAAUUGAGGAAAGCUCCUGCUAAUUCUACUACUUCUGUGGAGAGUAGUUGAAUAGAUUACCGAGAGGGAAGCUUGGAAGCUAUCCGAGCGGCCUGUCGUGGCAAUCGGUCGACGCCUGCUCAGUAGCAGAGGAGAGUUUCGAAAGUUGAGGGGACAAGCUUAGGAAAUUCGUGCAAAAUCUCAGUUUAUGAGAUGGGGAUGCGGACAGAGAUUCUUGGUGAAAUUUAAAAGAAGAUAGCAUAGGAAAUAGGAAAUGUUCGCCUAGCAGGCAGGCCAGGCGGGGCGGGGUUGGGGCAUCUGGAGAACUCUGACUGGAUAUUUAGAAGGGAUUGCUAUUGUACAAUCAUCUUCUCGAAGGUGAGCUUCACAGACUGGGUUGUUAUCUGUCAGGUUUAUAUUUUCACUGGGAUGAAGAAGAAUAGCAAAGAGAGAGAAAACAGAGAACGAUUAUUUACUGUUGCUCUUCUUUUCCCCAGUGGGUAAGUGCAUCUGUUAUUCGUGGUGUCAUUAGCUGCGGAUGUCAGCAUUUCGUAGUCAACUCAGUCUGAGAUUGGUGCUUUUGCAGUGAACUAGUUAAGUCCUACCAUGAAUGGAGUUCGUUUGGUUGUAUCUACCUUAAACGUUAAAUCGUCAUUCCCUGGCACAAUUAUGUGAAAAGAAUUAGACGUUUGAUUCUCUUUGCGAGAAAAAUGUUUCAAUGUCUGAGUCCAGUUAAUUAGAUUCCUAGGAAUUGACGAUGAGUGGUCACUGCACUGCACUAAAGCCUGUUAUUUGACAGGAAUCUUUUCCUCAUGCUCCUCCUUUUCCUCCAUUUCUUUUGACUGUAGGGGCAGAUUGUUUAAAGAUAUCUUUCAUGUGUUUACUGAUUGUCUAAGAUGCACAGUUAAGCAUAUAUUCUGUCAUGAUACAUCAUUGAUGAAUUUUCCCAGUAACUGUUGCCAUUAGAUGGGUGUUGUUAAUAAAUUGUGCAGUUCAUGAACUCGGACAUAUUUUUCCUGGACUAACACCCAGACAUCUGAAUUUAUUAACAGGUCAUUAAGUAUGGUUUUGUCAUACUGUUCAAUGUUACAAUGUGGGGAUGUUAUGUCAACAGCCUAAAGAGUCUCUCGUCUCUUCAAGCCACAGUUACGAACUUUGCGACAAAUUUCCUCACUUCUGGAUUAGCUGGGUUCUUUUUGUUUGAUGAGUCAUUGAGAUACCAGGUACUUUGAUUAACUAUUUUCCUGCCCUGUUCUGCAAAGUUAUAUACUUCAAGGUUUGAUUUUUUACUGUGUCUAAAAUAAGAGGCAAGCUCUUAUUGUUACAGCCGGAGCUGUCAAAAGUAUUUUUCACUGAUACAAGUAAUAUCAUGACUGCAUUUAGUUCCCUCAAGAGAUAAAUUCUCCCUAUGGAAUCGGAACUGGUUAUCUUGAAAGUGGCAAGUAGGCUAAAAUUUAGGAGUCAAGUUAUGCAAUAGAUAACUUCCGAGUUUAUUAUCUCAUGAAUGCAUUGAGGGUGAGGAGGGUUUUAUAUUUCAGAUGAAAGCUUCUGAGAUCAAUGUGGUUGCCAAGGAAAAGAGUUAGCUCGCUUCAUGCAAACCUGUUGUUCAGGGAUUCUUGGCGUAGUCUCCACCUUGCGAUAAAAGGUGUCGAGUACUUCCUAGUUCCUGAUAAUGACUUGAGUUUUAGGUUUAAUCAUUGCUAUCUUGACUCACAUUAUGGUUGUGAUAUGGUUGUGAAAUUGUGAUUAAAAGGAUGCAGUGAUUGGAGAUUCUCACUCCACUUAGUCUAUGAAUGCAGAUUUCACAAAAUUCACAUGAAGUCCCGUUCUUAGUGGUUUGCAGGUGCACUUUUCAUAGUGAUUGGCGUGCUAAUUCUCAGCAAAUCAAGUAUUGAGAAGAAAAGUAGAGUUGAUUGAAAGUUCUCAGUUUAUGAGAGAUACCAUACGCCAUGCUUGAAGGUUGCCCCCUUUUGCUACUGGCAACAGUUGCUCUGCUGCUUUGGUUUAUGCUUUUCUUUCCCUUCUCCCUUUUAAGUGCCCGAACUGCCUGUUCUCAUUUAUCUUUUGUGGAUUUGCAGGUGACUUAGUAGAGAUCAGAAGUUCCAUUCUUGUGCCACUCUCAAGGAAAGGAGAAAAUGAAGUUGAGAAUUGAGGAUAUAAAGGGUGUUUCCUUCCUGGCCGGUGAUUCCGUGUGAACGAUCACUACUUUUCGUGACUGGCAGCACCGAGGAUGCUAUGUUGUUAAUGCCAGGAUUGCUAUGUUACUGUUAAUGGUGACUAUACAAUAUAGCUACAAGGCAAGCUGCAAAGAAGACAGAUUUGUGUUUAGAGAUGGGAUCCUAUCCUACCUUUUCACCAUGCCAAACGAGUAGGCUAAAACAUUGGUAAGUGAACCCUAAUUUAGGCGCUCUCGAAAGGCUGAAUGUGUCGUGCGCGCUUCGUGAGCGUGAAGCUAAAAGAUCAUCUUUACAUUGAUAUAAAUCAAGGCCUUGAUGUGAGCUUAUGCCUACAUGUGCUAUAAUUUUAUUUUAUUUUUUUUAAAUGCGGAGGAUUUAAUGGACAUCGGGCAUUACUGGGGCAAGGUCGUCCUCUAACUUACCCCGAACUGCUCUUUCUUUAACACCGUCCAUUCUUUUUGCUCUUUAUUAAUUUAUAAAAUAUGAAAAAAAAAUUGAUUUUAUUGUCUAAUUGAAAUUUUAUCGAGAAAAAGAUCCUUCUUUUUUUUUUUUUCAAUUUCUGCUUUGACAAAAGAGAAAUGCGCGAGUUGGAUCUUUCAAUUACUUUGCCGAAAAGGUAAUUACGUUAUAGCGUGUGGUACUCAUUGCAAUAAUUGGAUAACAAAAAUAUAUCCAUGGAUGUGGCUCUAUAGAUGAAAUCAUGCUGUUCUAUUGUUAUCGUGGUAAAGGAAAUAAUAGCUUUUCCUCAGAAAACUCGGUUAAAUGUGUGAUUUGAAACAUGACAAUGUGCGGCGAAAAUAAUAGCUUUUUUCAUCAUCAACCUAAACUUAAAAUUCAUAAAAUCAAUUUGGCGAAAAGAUCGGGAAAUUGUUAAACUGUACGACUUUUUGGGUCCAAUUGUUGCAAUACAUAAUUAUUCCGCUGUUUAGAUGACACCUAUAUGCCCUCUAAUAAACAUUGCAAAUACAAUAAUUUUGAUGUCGUAUUAGCGAAAGCAUGGUAUUCAACUUUCGUGCUAAAUGGAGCGAGAAAGCAUGAUAUUCAACUUUCGUGCUAGAUGGAGCGACGAUGAUCUAUUUGUUGUUAUGCUAUAAGAUAAGUGAAAUACUUAGAAAGAAAUAGUAGCCUAUAAUAAAGUGAUAAUCAAGAGGGUCUCGUGACUAAUCAAUGUCUAAAUAUUUUGAUGAGUCCUUUUAGUUAAAAAGAUCGAACCAAAAAAAUGAUCUCCACUCAAUCCAUUGAAAGUAGGUGAAUCACUCAGUUUAAUGGAAGAACUGGUACAUGAAUAAUGGUUAAGGGACUUUUUCUCGGGGAAUACACUCAAAUCCAUUAAAUUACCAAUUUUUAUCCAUGUGUUUUCCUAUUUGUUUUUUUUUUAGUAACCGAGGAGCCGUCGGAGACUCCCUUACGGGGUCACACCGCCCUUCGAUGCCCGGUGGCACCAUUGGACGUCGUCGCAAGUUACUAUUUAGACGUAAAAUCUCGGAAAGCUGGCCUAGUAAUCCACCCUAAGACCCCCAGUUAAGUCAUAGAAUGCAACGAGAGAGUUCAAACCCUCGACCUCGGCAAUGAGAAAGAGUAUGCACACCAUCUGCGCUGCCCAUGGGUGGGUGUGUUUUCCUAUUUGUUGAUCGUCAAUCAAUACAUUAUAUAUGUGCCUUACUAAUACUCACCAAUCUACUUCUUCACAAUACAUUUAUAACAUAUGACUUUAGCUAGCUACAUAUUGAGUCCUUGCUCAGGAGCACGAUGUAACUAAUAUUAAAUUUAUCCAUAAAUUUAUUAAAUAAUUAGGCAAAAGUAAAUUGCUUGCUUAGGAUCGAUUGUUUUGUGCUAUAGGCUUUUUGUUGGCUUGGCGGUCGUUGGGCCACCAAACUUAUGAUCGAGUUCAAUUCGAUUGAUCUGCUUGCCUCGUUUUGACAUGAAGAAAUAUUUUACAAGGUCAUCUUUCAUGAGAAUACACGAGCUCAAGAUUAUUAAAGGAGCGUGAAGUACUCUUAUAUGCUUGACUAGCUAUAUUUCCAUAAAUUUGCAAAUUGCAUUAACGGUUGUUUGAUUUGUGAAUAAUCUAUCUUUAAUAAAGAAUCAUUUGUUUUAGAAGUGCCAAAAUUAGAUCCGGCAAACUGGUAAGUCGAGGGUUGAGUUGAAAAUGAUCCGAAUCAAAAUCAACCAAUUUUAUGUGUAAUAUAAAUUUAGUGAUUGGUACGUGACUUAAGAUCAAUUCUAAAUUUAUUUUUUUUCAUUAGAUUAUUGAUUUUUGAGAAAACGAGCGGUUCAUAAAUCGACUCGUUGAAGAAGAAAAAAAAUUAAUUCUCGUUAAAAAUUUAAAAUUCUUUCUUGUUUUUGCUUCAAGUUCUCGUCCCGUGACCCACCGUCGGAACGAGGGCAUGAAAUUUGAUGAAAAGUCCAAGGAGAGAUAAAGGGCGAAGGAUUUAAACCUAACGUGCAGAUCGGACGGUCAGCAGGUUCUAAGCAAAUCGAAUCUAACGGAGGAGACAGCAGCGUCGGCUUAAAGCCAUGUUAGAUAGAAGAAAAAAAGAAAAAGGGAAAAUCAGCGUUGACCACUCCGCAUUUCUUCAAAAUUCUUCCAAAUUUGCAAAUUCCCUAUGGCGGGGGCGCUCGUCGGCGGGGCAUUUCUCUCGGCUUUCCUCCAGGUGCUCUUCGACCGGAUGGCCUCCCGCGAGGUCGUCGACUUCUUCCGGUCGCGCAAGCUCGGCAAGGGGAGGCUGCUGCAGAAGCUGAAGGCCGCGCUCCUGUCCGCGAACGCCGUGCUGGACGACGCGGAGGAGAAGCAGAUGACCAACGACCACGUCAGGAAGUGGCUCGACGAGCUCAAGGACGCCGUGUACGACGCCGACGACCUGUUCGACGAGAUCGCCACUGAAGAUCUGAAGCGCGAAGCCGGGGUCGAGCCUCGGGCUCUCGUUUGUAAGGUCUGGAGCUUUGCUGCAGACGCUCGUAGGAGUAAAUUGGGGGAUGAGUUAGAGAGGGUUCUGGAGAGAUUGGAGAGCGUAGUGAAGCAGAGAGAAGUGCUGGGCCUAGGGGAAGUUAUUCGCGAGAGGACGCCUAGAGUGACGACUUCGUUGGUCGACGAAUCGGGAGUUUUCGGGAGGGAAAAGGACAGGGAGGCGGUGAUCCAGUUGCUCUUGUCAGAUCGGGGCGAAAAGAACACCAGCGUGAUGGCCAUCGUUGGGAUGGGCGGUGUCGGUAAGACCACGCUAUCUCAACUCGUGUUCAACGAUGGUGCGGUGAAGGGGAGUUUCGAGUUGAGGGCGUGGGUUUGCGUGUCCGACCAAUUCGACAUCUGCAAGCUGACGGCGACGGCUCUCGAGGAGUUCUCCUCCUCAUCUAAGAAGGAGACUGAAAAUCUCGACCAGCUUCAGCUCCAACUGAAGAACUUCUUGACAGGGAAGAAAUUCCUAUUGGUGUUGGAUGAUGUUUGGAAUGAGGACUCAAAUCUUUGGGAUGCGUUCCUAGUUCCUUUUAUCUAUGGAGCAAGAGGCAGCAAAUCAUCGUGACGACACGAAAUAAGAGGGUCGCAUCGGUUGCUCGUGCCGUCUCGACAUACCCUUUACGGAAGUUGCAAGACGAGGAAUGUUGGGACUUGUUCACAAAACAUGCGUUUGAUGAGCAUAACUUCGAGGCACACACGAGACUUGAAGACAUCGGGCAAAGAAUUGUAAAGAGAUGUGAUGGAUUGCCUCUUGCGCUGAAGGCUAUAGGUAGCUUGUUACGCUGUGAGUCUGAUAUCAGGGAGUGGGAAAAAAUUGCAGAGAGUUAUAUUUGGAAUUUGGCACCUGCAAAGGAUGGAAUUCUCCCUGCGUUGUUGUUAAGUUAUCAUUACCUUCCUCCACAACUGAAACGAUGUUUUGCCUAUUGUUCAGUCUUCCCAAAGGAUUGUAUAUAUGAGAAGGACCAGCUGAUCUUACUUUGGAUGGCUGAGGGCUUGAUAGAACAGCCCAACGAAAGCGGGACAUUAGAGGAAAGUAGGUGAUCAGUGCUUCCGUGAUCUUGUGUCUAGAUCUUUACUUCAUAGGGUACGUGAUGUCGAAUCAAGCUUUUCAAUGCAUGACCUGGUCAAUGACUUAGCAAGAUAUGUAGCUGGUCGUUCUUUUUUUAGCUUGGAUGGAGGCAAUGCACACCGCGUGUCCUCAAGCACUCGCCAUUUGUCAUUUGUAAGAACUCACUAUGAUGUCGUUUCUAGAUUCAGAGUGUUAGCCGGGGCAAUGAAUUUGCGUACUUUCCUGCCGCUAAACGUGGCUCACGUGAGACUUUGCGAGUACAAUUUGUUGACUGAUGAGGUACUGCAUGUUCUGUUGCCGAGCCUGAGACGGUUAAGGGUGCUAUCUUUGUCUCAUUAUUGGAAAAUCUCAACGUUGCCCAGUUCAAUUGGAUGUUUGAAGCAUUUGCGCUAUUUGAAUCUCUCCUAUAAUGAAAGUCUAAUCAGAUUGCCUGAUUCAGUUACUGCUCUAUACAACUUACAAACCUUAAUUCUUGCUUACUGUCGCUCUCUCAUUGAGUUAUCGAGCAACAUGGGCAGCCUAACCUGUCUACGUCAUCUUGAUAUAAGGGAUACAUCCCUGAAUAGAAUGCCGUUGGGGAUGAACAGACUGAAGGAUUUGCGGACAUUAACUAAUUUCGUGGUGGCCGAAAACGGUGAGACCAGGGUUAGGGAGAUAGGGGAACUAGGGAAUCUUAUGGGUACACUCUCCGUACAGGGUUUGCAAAAUGUUGAUAGUUACCGAGAUGCCGAGAUAGUCAAUUUGCGAGAAAAGAGGUACUUGAAAAAGUUAGUACUGGAAUGGGGUUCUAAUAACAAUAUUACGCAGCAAAAUAACUUAAAUAUAUUGGACAAGCUGCAACCUCAUUGGAACUUGAGAGAGCUUACCAUUAUAUCCUAUAGUGGUAGGUCAUUUUCCGAUUGGCUGGGACACGGUUCAUUCUCUAAUAUGUCAGUUGUUCAUCUUGAAUCUUGCAAGCACUGUGUGUCGUUGCCUCCUUUAGGACAGCUACCAUCUCUGGAGAGGUUGAUGAUCGAAGGAUUUGAUGGAGUUACAAGUGUGGGUACUGAAUUUAAUGGUAGUAACUGUAUAUCUUUCCAGUCACUUAAGUACUUGGAAUUUACUGACAUAUGCAGCUGGAAAGAGUGGGCUUGUUUUGCAAUAGAGACAGGAGGUCUUGCCUUUGCACAUCUGCAGGAGCUUUGUAUUAGAAAUUGCCCGCAGUUGAGUGGAGGUUUACCCAGCCAUCUCCCUUCUCUAACAGCCUUGUCCAUUGGAAGGUGCCCACAGCUAAUGUCUUCUCUACCAUUUGCACCACUUCUCCGUGAGAUCAAAUUGGAUGAUUGUGGAAAGGUCUCUGGAGUUGAGCCCCUCCUAAAUGGCACUGAGUUACGAGAUAUGAAAAUCUGGAAUCUUUCAACCCUUCCCUUGAGGUUUCUUCCUCCUACCGUGAUAUAUAUAUAUAUGUGGGAGCUGCGAUUCACUUAUAUCCUUUCCUCUGGAAAUUUUCCCCUCACUUAAAGAUAUUAAGUUGUUGGGGAUUAAAAAUUUGGAACAUCUUGCAAAUUCAGACGGUUCAUCACUUCUUCUCCAUUCGAUGGCCACAACUCGAGUCAUUUCCCGAGCGGGGUCUACCCUCCAAGUUGGUCGAGCUUUCACUCUUUGAUUGUGACAAGCUCAUCACUGGCCGCAAGGAUUGGGGUCUUCAAUCGCUAUGCUCUCUUGGAACUUUUUCCAUUCGGGGAGAGAAAAAUAUAGUCAUUUCCUGAGAUAGGGCUUCUGCCAACCUCUCUUACCUCUCUGCAUAUCUCUUUCUUUGAGAAUCUGACUUCCCUGAACUCCAGAGCGCUUCAUAGCCUGAGCUCCCUUGAAAACCUCUCCAUUAUCGGAUGUCCUAAGCUCCAUUCCUUCCCAAAAGAGGGACAAAUUCUGCCCGCUUCUCUUACCUCUCUGUCGAUUUAUUUUACGGGUCUAAAAUCACUGGAUAACUUAGGGCUCCACCACCUCACUUGUCUCAAAGAAUUUCGCAUAGAUUUCUGCUUCAAUCUUCGAUCCAUGCCAGCGGAGGGCUUGUCAUCCUCCCUUUCCAAUCUAUUUAUCAAUAAGUGCCCUAUGCUGGCGAAAAGAUGCCAGCGGAAGAAAGGGAAAGAUUGGCCCCUAGUUUCGCACAUUCGCUGCAUCGUGAUUGAAGGUGUGCUCGUCACAUGAUCGAAUAUCUUGCUUUACAAUCCCUCCUUUUACCAAGAUCUCACUCAGGUAUCUCCCUUGGCCCUACACUAAGUAAGCCAUUUAUUUAUUCAGGACAUACUUCGGUCGCUCUGUGCUAUCCUUCCAGCUAAUGCAAAUCAAAAUCUGGCGUGUGUGUUGGACCGUUUCCCUAAUGUAUCUCCGGCUGAAGCACUCGACGUCACGUGGCGCAAUGUGAGCUGCAGCCGGUAGCCGGUGCGCGGCAAUACGUCCAAUUUUUGGUUGUUUGAGGAUUAGCGGGAGCUCUAAUUAAGGAAAGGUCCUGCCAAUUCUACUACUUCUGCGGAGAGUAGUUGAAUUACCGAGAGGGAAGCUUGGAAGCUAUCCGAGCGGCCUGUUGUGGCAAUCGGUUGACGCCUGCUCAGUAGCAGAGGAGAGUUUCGAAAGUGGAGGGGACAAGCAUAGGAAAUUCGUGCAAAAUCUUGGUUUAUGAGAUGGGGAUGCGGAGAGUGAUUUUUGGUGAAAUUUAAAAGAAGAUAGCAUAGGAAGUAGAAAAUGAGCCGAACACCUAGCAGGUGGGCCGCGUGGGUUUGGGGCAUCCGGAGAACACAGACCGGAUAUUUAGAAGGGAUAACUAUUGUACAAGCAUCUUCUCGAAUGUGAGCUUUGCAGACUGGAUUGGUAUCUGUCAGGUUUAUAUCUUCACCGGGAUGAAGAAGAAUUGCAGAGAGAGAGAUCAUAGAGAAGCAUCAUUUGAUUAUUUACUGUUGCUCUUCUUUUUCCCAGUGGGUACAUGCAUCUGUUGUUUGCAGUGUUAUUAGCCGGGGAUGUCAGCAUUUCCUAGUCAACUCAGUCUGAGAUCUGGUGCUUUAGCAGCAAACUAGUUAAGUUCUACCAUGAAUGGAGUUCAUUUGGUUGUAUCUACCUUAAAUGUUAAGUCGUCAUUCCCUGGCAGAAUUACGUGAAAAGAAGUAGAUGUUUGUUUCUCUUUGUGAGGAAGAAGUUUCAAUGUCUGAGUCCGGUUAAUUAGAUUCCUAGGACUUGACAAUAAUUGGUCACUGCACUGCACUGAAGCCUGUUAUUUGACAGGAAUCUCUUCCUCAUCCUCUUCUUCUUCCUCCAUUUCUUUGGACUGUUGGAGCAGAUUGUCUAGUGAUAUUUUUCAUGUGUUUACUGAUUAUCUAAGAUGCACAGUUAAGCAUUUAUUCUGUCAUGAUACAUCAUUGCGACGAAUUUUUCCAGUAACUGUUGCUGUUAGAUCGGUGUUGUUAAUAAAUUGUGCUGUUCAUGAACUCGGACAUAUUUUUCCUGGACUAACACUCAGAGAUCCGAAUUUGUUAGCAGGUCAUUAAGUAUGGUUUUGUCAUACUGUUCAAUGUUACGAUUUGGGGAUGUUAUGUCAACAGCCUAAAGAGUCUCUCGUCUCUUCAAGCCACAGUUACGAACUUCUCGACAAAUUUCCUCGCUUCUGGAUUAGCUGGGUUCUUUUUGUUUGAUGAGUCAUUGAGAUACCAGAUACUACGAUUAACUAUUUUCCUGCCCUGUUCUGCAAAGUUAUGUACUUCAAGGUUUGAUUUUUUAUUGUGUUUAAAACAAGAGGCGAGCUCUUAUUGUUAUACCUGGAACUAUCAAAAGUAUUUUUCACAUACACAAGUAAUAUCAUGACUGCAUUUAGUUCCCUCGAGAGAACAAUUCUCCCUAUGGAAUCGGAACUGGUAAUCUUGAAAGUGGCAAAUAGGCCAAAAGUUGGGAGUCAAAUUAUGCCAUAGAUAACUUCCGAGUUUAUUAUCUCAUGAAUGCAUUGAGGGUAAUUAUGCCAUCAUAAGUGGGGAGCAACAGCAUGGAGAAGGAUUUUAUAUUUCAGAUGAAAGCUUCUGAGAUCAAUGUGGUUGCUAAAGAACAGAGCUAGUUUGCUUCAUGCAAACCUGUUGUUCAGGGAUUCUUGGUGUAGUCUCCAGCCUGUGAUAAAAGGCAUUGAGUACUUCCUAGUUCCUGAUAAUGACUCAAGUUUAGGUUUAAUCAUUGCUAUCUUGACUCGCAUUAUGGUUGUGAUAUGGUUGUGAAAUUGUGAUUGAAAGGAGGCAAUGAUUUUUGAGAUUCUCACUCCACUUAGUCUAUGAAUGCAGAUUUCACGAAAUUCACAUAAGUCCCGUUCUUAGUGGUUUGCAGGUGCACUUCUUAUAGUGAUUGGUGUGCUAAUUCUUGCAAAUCAAGUUUUGAGAAGAAAAGUAGAGUUGAUUGAAAGUUCUCAGUUCAUGAGAGAUACCAUAUGCCAUGCUUGAAGGUUGCCCCCUUUUGCUACAGGCAACAGUUGCCCUGCUUCUCUGGUUUAUGUUUUUCUUUCCCUUCUCUCUUUUAAGUGCCCGAACUGCCUGUACUCAUUUAUCUUUUGUGGAUUUGCAGGUGACUUAUAAAUGAGAAGUUACAUUCUCGUGCCACUCUCAAGGAAGGAAAAAAAGGAAGUUGAGAAUUGAGGAUAGAAGAGUGUUUCCUUCCUGGCCGGUCAUUCCGCGUGAAUGAUCAUUACUUGCUGUGACUGGCAGCACAGCACCAAGGUUGCUAUGUUGUUAAUGCCAGGAUUGCUAUGUUACUGUUAAUGGUGACUGUAAGAUAUAGCCACAAAGCAAGCUGCAAAGAAGGCAGAUUUGUGUUUGGCGAUGGGAUCCUAUCCCACCUUUUCACCAUACCAAACGAGUAAGGCUGAACGUGUCGUGCGCGCUUUGAGAGCAUAAAGCUAAGACCCAACAAAGAUCAUCUUUACAUUAAUAUAAAUCAAGGUCUUAAUGUGAGCUUAUACCGACAUGUGCUAUAACGUAAUAGAAAACUUGCGGAGGAUUUAAUGGACAUCGUGCGUUACGGGGCCAAGGUUGUCUUCUAACUCACCUCGACCCGAACUGCUCUUGCUAUAAGACCCUCCAUUCCUUUUGCCCCUUAUUAAUUCAUAAAAUAUGAAAAAAAAUAAAAAUCGAUGGAUGAUUUUUUUCUUUUAAUAGACUUCAUGGAUUAUAUUUUCUUCACUUGAUGUUUUUGUCGGAUUGAAAUUUUAUGGAAAAAAAGAUUCUUAUUUUCAAUUUCUGCUUUGACAAAAGAGAAAUGCAUGAGUUAGAUCUUUCAAUUACUUUGUGGAAAAGUUAGUUAUGCCAUAGCGUGUAGUACUCAUUAAUUUGAUUGGAUAAUGAAAAUAUAUCAACUGGUGAGGUGCCAUAGAUGAAAUCAUGUCGUAGUACUAUUGCUAUUGUGGUAAAGGAAAUGGUACCUUUUCCUCGGAAAACUUUGUUACUUGAAUGAUCUAAAACAUGACAACGCGUGGCCAAAGUAAUAGUUUUUCUCAUUACCAACCUAAACUUAAAAUUUGUAAAAUCAAUUCGGUGAAAAGAUUGGUGCACCAAAUUUAUUGGCUAUCUUGAAAAAUUAGAUUUGUGAGGAAGGGGUGUCUGCCUCAAAGUGUGGAUUUUUUGCUGGCACAAUAAAAUAAUCAGGCCACCUAAGCAUUUUUUGGGGUUAAUUUAUUAUAUUCAUGUUAAUGAGUUUAUAAUGCAGCAUUGUAACAUGACGUGAGAAUACAGUAAUUUUAAGUGUGUUUAUUUCGCGAAAAUUGAAUGAUUUGAAAAAUGUUUUUUUAAAAAUAAUCGCUUAAAAUAAUUAAUGAAUGGAAAAUAUUUUUCAUUGUUCAUGAAAAUAUUUAGGAAUAAAAUUAUCAAUAAUAAAAAUAUUUUUAAUUGAUUAAUUAUUUUAAAUAAUAUAAACGCAAGCCUUCACGAGAAAACAUGGCUUACUUUUUCCAUUUUUCAUUUAACUGUCACCGUUCAGAUAAGACUUCCCCGACAAAUGGGCUCGAGGCGCGAAACUGAGGAUGAAUCAGGACCGUUACUCGAAGGCAACGGGCUCACCGACUAAAGUGCGUCCGCGCACACCGGAUGGCGGCUCACCGUCUCUCUCCUUCGCAUUUUCCCGCCAGAAACCCAUCCCCCUCGACCGCCAAAUCUCUCUCCCUCUCUUCCCCUUCCCUUACCUAAAUCCUCACUCGCGAGGCUCUCUCUCUCCCUGUGCCGCCCUCUCCCUGUCACUCCGGUGAAGCGAAGCCAUGAAGGACCUCGACUUCAAGGGCGACAAAGGUCAGUCCCUCUCUCUCUCUCUCUGUGGCGUUGUGUUUUCGUGGGUAUGCGUGGAAUUUAAUCCGGGAUCCAAUUUGAUGUUGUGAUGAUGCCGACAGCGAUCGCGAAGGAUUUCCUCUCGAACUUCGCCGACGCGAAUGGAGAAGCCAAGUACAUGAACGUCCUCGUAAGUUCCUCCUCUCUCGACUGUCCUUUUUAUACUCGGACAUCCCUUUAAGCGCUGUAGAAUUGAGGCGAAAUCAAUGUUAAAGGUGCGUGCUUGAUCGCACGUCGUGCCCAAUCCUUUUCUGUUGUCCAUGAACUGCGGCUGCGGAGUCUCUUCCGUGUGCAAUAAUGCUCCAGUACUUAUAAAAUGAUUAACCCUAGAUUUUACAUUUGAGUCGAGCGUAGUUCCCUUUUUAUUUGCAAUUUAAAUGGCUCGCAUGAGGGUCGCCAUUCCUGAUUUCAGCAAGAAGUUGCAAAUCGAAAAAUUCGUGAUAUCCGUUUUAUUAUUCCAUGAUAUCUUUCAUUCAUAAGCUAUAUGUUUAAAAUAGAUAGUAAUUAGCUAAAUAAUCGGUGACACCAAAUAUUAAAUAUUUACCUAACAUCAUCAUACUAUAAAGUUACUUUCGAUUCCGAGUAAUAAAAGCAGCACACAUCCUCUCUCUCUCUCUCACUCACUAACACAGUGGUCGAGGCGUCAGACGUGGUCGAGGCCCCCCUCAUUGUUGCAUGGCUGCUCCCGCUGGCCUGGCUCAUGAGCCGGAGGGGCCGGCAAGUGGAUGAUAGGUGCCGCAAGAUGAAGCAGCUGCUGCAAUUGGCUUCGGAAGAAGCCGUGCGAGUCAAGCUCAAGGCGUCGAUCGUGUCGUGGAUAGGCCUGAUUGAGGCCCUCAUCCUCUGCAUCAUAUGGCUGCUACCACUCGUGGCAUUUUUUCGUCCAGAGGAGUCGGUGAUGAUCGGUCGAGAGGAGCUCCAGGAUCGAGCGGCUUCGGGAGCUCGGAGGGCCAAGACCAGAGGCUCCAUCGGGUACACAACGUUGUCUCUUCCUUUACUACUAUCACUGUCCCGUUUGCUAUGGAUGCGAUACAUAUAGAUGCUCACACUGUCUGGUGAUGCGGUGCUAGUGAUUUCGAUAGUUUGAUAUCUAACUCCACUAUGUACAUGUUAGUUAUUUAGGAAUAAUCAAUCAGUCAUGGCGUUUGGUAUGGUCGAUGAACAAUCACUAGCGAAAAAAAUACUAAUGUCUAAUUUGAUUAUGUACAUACUAGUCAUUUAGGCAUAAUCAAUCAGUCAUGGCAUCUGGUGUAUGAUCAAUAAACAAUUACUAGAGAAAUUUCCGUUGUUUAUUACAACAUUUCUUAUAUACAUUUGUCUUACCGUCGUCACUCGCCCAUGGUUGCUCUCGGUCGCGACCAACUCUCGUUGCCAUGGAGGGAGAGAGAAGGGCCGUGGCGACUGAGGGGACUGUGGGGACUGUGGGGACCGCGCUCCUGAAUUCGAGCAAUUCUCGAGACGGAGUCUAAGCUCGAAUAUGUCCGCGAAGGACGCGAUUUUCUUCGCUGCUGCGGCUAACGAAGUGGAAUCCUUACGCGAAAUCGCGUCGGGAAGUCCCACCACCAAGUACGAACCUGUCUCUUCGCUGAUGGAUCCUCCCGAUCCGCGGAAGGAGUCGAAGUCGAAGUUCGCCGUCGUCCGUUGUUCGCGACCACCCCACUCUCAAGAUUCUCCAUUCAGCCACGGGUCCAAUUCUUCGCUGCCGGCGAUCGUAACUCGUUCCUACCAAAAUCUCAAGGGAGAUUUGACUACCAACGUCUCUCUCGUCUAGCGGUCUGUGUCUCUCCCUCUUCCCUCGAGCUUGCUCUAUGAUCAUGGGAUAGCGUGCGGGUCAAUGCUUCGCUUCGCUCCUCCGCUCGUAAGAAGGAAAGGAAAAAAAGAGCGAAAAAGAGAGGGAAAAUCACAAAAAAGAAAAGGAAAAAAAUAAAAGGGAAAAUAGGGAAGUUCCCAGGUGUGGUAGUUUGUUAGGGGCGUUGGCGGAUGAUGUGCCCACUUAACAUUUUGGAUCAUCAUCUCUACUGCGGUGAAUCAUUCAUCAUCGAAUGAGGAGAGACUUGUGUCUGUGGAGACAUACAUGCCAUUCAUGAUCUAAUCUACUUAAAAUAUGCUUGAUGAUUGUGCAUUUGUUCAAGCUUUAAUGUGAUGAUAACUACAAAGGACAUAUAUGUUUCGCCAGGGGAGCUUCAAAUAUGCAAAUGUCAAUGUUAAUUGCAAAAUCUUUCUGCUUGGAAAGCCUGCUAGCCCUCACUAGCCAAAAUGAAAAGAGGAAAAAAAAUUAAAAAAUUUCCACGUCAACGCGAGUCACGCCUUAUAAGAUAGCCAACUUUUAAAUCAAUGGAUUGGACUCAAUUUUCACAAAUAUAAAAAAAUCAAUGGUUAAAUUAAUCUAAUCUAAAGAUUUAAAAGUGAAUUGGUAUUAAUAUAAUAUGUUUAAAUUUUUUUUUAGUACUUUUCCCUUAAUUGUCAUUUCAAUCUUUUUGAUACAACACAAAAUUGUUCCAUGAAAUGUCACAUCACAAAAUUGAAGAACACUACAAAUAAGUAAAAAUCAUAAAAUUGAAAAAUAAACAUCAAAUAUGAAAAACAAAAAACAAAGAAAAGGAUGAAGUCUGCCAAGAGACGAGAGCUUGGGAAUGGAGAAAUAAUGGGGGUUUAUAUGCCGCCCCAAUAAGGGCUGGCGAUCCUCGUCGAGGUCCUAUCGAGGGCAGUGAGCCCUCACACGAUAGUUGUUGCAAUAACCAUCACCAUCAUUGGGCCCUGGCAAGGGUCUAUCCAACAAAUUUUGCCCCACUGCUGCGAGGGGCAUUACCUCCGUCCAUCUCUAGGCGAGUCGCCCUCACGGAUGCAAAGCCGCCCCCUCAUUGCCCCUAACAUUUUUUACUUUUCUAAAAUCAUUUCAAUCCUUUCUUUUUUUUAAUAUUUAUGCUAUUUCGAUCCUUUUUUUUUUUUUUUCCUUUUUAGCAUUUGUCUUUUUGACGCGGUGCCUAUUCGACACCAAGAGAAGAAGAGUGAACUCUCCAUUUUUGGGUCCACCAUUGGCUUUCUUUAUGAUUAUCUUAGGAUGGUUUGACAGUCCCAUUCUCAGGAGGAAUUGGGGUGGGGACGAUUUCGUGGGUUUCGACUCCCACGCCCUGUAAGGAGGUAAGGACAAAAGCCUGAGAGUGAGUGUUAGAAUAGGAUUAUAGUAGGACUGACAAAAAAAAAAAAAAAAACUUAAUUUGACCAAUUUUUUUGCCUCUCUUUCUUUUUCCACUUUUUCCAAGAAGCUUCACGAAAGCAUCUCGGGUCAUUAGUUUCGUCGAAUUUAAUGUCUGAAAAGGAAACUCCACGGCUUCUUGCAAUACCCGUCCUUGAUUUCCUUUGAAAUGAAGUUGCUCUCGAGGAAACCCUCCUCGAAGUAGUACUCAGGGCUGUCAAAUGAUUGGUUCGAAAAUGGUUAAGCCCUAAUUGAUCCAUGUAAUUUUGAUAAAAAAAUUACCUAUAUAACUUUUUUUUUUACUCAUUUAUAUGAAAUACAAAGUUAAUGUCCCAAUAUAGAGCCAUAAUUUUGACUGACGGAAGUGAAAUUUUCACUGUUAUGCAUCUUAAAUUUUUUUUUAAUAUUUGUUACUAAUAGGUAUUUCAAAUGAAGUCAACUCAAUAAAUUAGUAAAAAAAAUUACAGAAGACUGAAAGAAAAUUAACUCAACUAAAAUAGAAUAACUACUCAAAGAACAUUUUAAAAAAAAACAAAAGUAAGAGUACAAAAAUUGCCAAAACAUCAUUACAAAUGAUAAAUUGAAGAAUUAAAAAUGGCAAAAAUUGAUACACCCCUUCCGUACAAAGAGUGCUUAGGCCCUUUCAAUCUUUUCUUUUAAUUGGGGAGAGUGGGGAAGCAAUAACACUUAGACCGCCAACUUUUUUGAGAUUAGUGCAUUUAAAAUUUUAAACUCAUGGCAGAAGUGUAACUGAAUUUUAAAAUUUAAGAUAAUAUAAUCAAGUAUGAAAUUUUGCAAUCAAAAUUGAAGAUGCUUAAAAUAUUACUCUAGUAGAAAUCAUCAAUAUGUGUUGUGUUGAAUGUUAAACGCAAAACAAAACCUGAAAGUAUGAUACCACUCAUUUAGAGUCACUUAGGCAUUAUAAUUUUUUUUUUGGGUUGAAAUUUAGACAACAUUUCAAUAAGCAGAUUUGAUAAUUGUAAUGUCCCAACAAUCGUUUCAUCAAAUAUGUGAUGGAUGGAAAGUGUAGAAAAGAAGUAAAAAAAGAAUAAAUGCACACAACAAUUUUUUUCAUAGUGUGAUUGUUUAGAUAUAACUGAACUUGUUGACCGAAAGCAACAUAAGUGUCCAUCGGGUGUCUGGAUUGCAACGCUAAUGCUACUACAUGGCUACUAGAUGUUCUCUUUGAGAGAAAAUAUUGAAUAUACAAGUUGUGUUAGUGUAACAAAUUAAAAGCUCAUCCAUUGAGCGACAUGUGUUCUUAAAAAACGCACUUGAAGUGGGAACGCUCAUGUUUCAAUAUGGCAUGCAAGUCGCUCUCUCGAGGAAACCCUCUUCCUAAGUAGCACUUGGGCUACCGAAUGGUGGAUUGGUUCGAAAAUGAUUAGACUCUAAUUGACCCAUGUGAUUUUGAUUAAAAAUAAUCAAUAUAACCUGUUUUGACUCAUUUAUAUGAAAUACGAACUUAAUGUUCCAUAAUAGCGCCACAAUUUUGAGUGGUGGAAGUGAAAUUUUCACUAUUAUGCAUCUAAAUUUUUUAAUUAAUAUUUGUUACUAAUAGGUAUUCCAAAUAAAGUCAACUCAAUAAGUUUUCUAAUUUUUCAAUUAAUAUUUUUACAAUAGGUAUUUUAAAUAAAAUCAACUCAAUAAGGUUUCUUUUUUUUAAUUAAUAUUUGUUACAAAUAGGUAUUUCAAAUGAAGUCAACUCAAUAAAUUAGUAAAAAAAUUACAGAAAACCGAAAAAAUUAACUCAACCAAAUUAGAAUAAGUACUCAAACUACCUUUAUUUUAAAAUAUAAGUAAGAGUGCACAAAUUGCCAAAACAUCAUUACAAAUGAUAAAUGGAAGAAUUAAAAAUGAUAAAAAUUGAUGCACCCCUUCCAUACAAAGAGUGCUCAGACCGUCAACUUUUAUUUAGAGAUUAGUGCAUUUAAAAUUCUAAACUCAUGGCAAAAGUGUAACUGAAGUUUAAAAUUUUAGAUAAUAUAAUCAAAUCUGAAAAUUUACCAAAUUGAAGCAAUCAAAAUUUAAUAUGCUUAAAAUAUUACUCUAAUAUAAAUCAAUAAUAUGUGCUGUGUUGAAUGCUAAGCGCAAAACAAAUCCUUGAUAUGUGAUAUCACUCAUUGAUUGUGUAGAAUUUAGGCAACAUUUUUUUUUGGGUCGAAACUUAGGCAACAUUUCAAUAAGUGGAUUUGAUAAUUACAACGAUCCGCAUAAUUGUUUCAUCAAUAUGUGAUGGAUGGAAAGUGAAAAAAAUAAAAAUAAAAAAAGGAGUAAAAAGAGAAUAAAUAUGCAACAUUUUUUUUUUCAUAGUGUAAUUGUUUAGGUAUUAUUGAACUUGAUGUUGACCGAGAGCAACUAAAUUUCCACCAAUUGUCCGGAUUGCAGCAUUAAUGCUACUACAUGUUCUUUGGGAGAAAAUAUUGGUUGUGCAGGUUGUGCCAGCGCAACAAAUUGAAAGCUUAUCCAUUGAGGAACAUGUGCUCAUCUUCUUGCCCUUUCUCUAUUCUCCCAUUGCUUUCUUCGUUCUUUUUGCAAGCCACAGAUGGUCUCUCUCCUCCAUAAACCCCUUCUCCUCCUUCGGCCCUCCCCCUCACUUGCACGGGGCACGAUAAUGUCAUUCACCCGGCUCUCCUUCACUUGAGCUCGACCUUUGUGCCUCCCCCACUAACAACAGCUCCACCAUUGAAAUCGUCCGCUGCCCUGCGGCCCUCGGAUCCAAGAACAAGCCUAAGUCUCCCGUGCUCAUUGUCAUCACUCAUGACCCCGAGCCCCUGCAUCCUUGAGAUCUUAUGUGCUCCGAGUCAUCCCUCCCUCCAUAGCUUCCGGAUCUAACAAGGGCUCAGUCCUUGCCAGAUUCAGCGUGAGCGACCCUUACCCUAGCUGGGAGAGUCAACCCCCACCAAAUCCCCUCAUCAGAUUCGGCGAGAGCAACCCUAGCUUGUGGCCAGUCACCGGCCACAACCAAGUACUGGCCAUAGGUCAAAGGGAAAGAAAGUAAUUAAAAAAGAAGAAGAAGAAGAAGAAGGGAGAAAUGGCAAAGAAGAAGAAGAGAAAUGGAGGUGGGAGUCUGUGAGAGGAGAGAAACAAAGGAAGAGUAGCCUGAUAAGUAAGCUUUUUAUGGACACAUAUUGCUCAAUGGAUGGGCUUUCAAUUUGUUGCGUUGGCACAACUUGUGCGGUCAAUAUUUUCUCCAUGUCUUAGUAGGGUUUAAAAAUAAGUAAAUGCUCAGCCCACGAACGCAUACAUGUCCAUACACAUGUUUUCAGAAUUUUAUUAAUAUCAGCUAUACGAGAUUGUGCUAUAAUAUAAUAACACAAAGAGGCCUAGAAUCGGAAAAGCUCACCUAGAGAAACCCCGCAUUAUCUUCAAUCAAACCCCUGGAAUGGGAAUGGAAGCUUUCUUGGCAUCGUUUGGUUGAUUGGAGCGAGGUGGAAUGGAAAUAAAAAUGGGGAAUAAAAAUUGCUUCAUUACUGCAUAUUUCGUUAACACGCGGGAAAGUGGAAAUGAGCGAUAAGGCAUGGGAAUGAGUUGACAGUCAAGGGUAAAUUGACAUGUGCACUAAGCUUCGUAUUUGAUAACUGUUGUUUGGACAUAAUAUGGCAAACAUACUUACCUAAUUUACUAUUAUAUAGCAAUUUGAAAAGAUAAAAUUCCACCCAUUACUACAUACGUUCCAAUUCCGAUGUAUUAUCAAAUGCAGUGAUAUUCAAAUCAAUUGCUAUUCUGAUUCACUACAAGCAAUUCCAUUCCCCUCUAGUUAUCUCAUGCUUAUGUAACAAAUGGGUCAAAGAAACAAUUUAGAACUCGUAUGGACCACAUCCUCAUCUAAAAUUAAGAACAAAUCAAAGUGCAUGAACCGCAAAAAUUAGGACCAUGAGCGCACGCAUGUCUAGUCUAUCUAAUUCUUGUUAAAACUCAUAAAAACAACAAUCAAAACAGAAAAAUUUCUGUUUUUGAGAGAGAGAAAAGAUAUAAAAAAAAAAAAAACAGAGCACUUCAUACGUCUUGUGCUUAAAAAAAACUGUCGAGUACAACCACUAAAUACAAAACAAAAACUGUUCACAUACGUGCAACACAUAACUGCACACAAACGUGCUAUUAACUUCCUAGAAAAUAGCAAAAACACUAAAUACGUAACUAAAUGAACUUGGCUGUUUUUUAAUAAAAAAAACAGAGUAAAACAGAGUAAAAAGAAAACUGAAAACAGCAGAAAACAGAGACAUUAUAAUCCAACAAACUUCUCCUUGGAUCAGUUGCUGCUGCAUACUCCAAUUUUCUUUCUUAAUACUUCAAAUCUUCCUGCUUGAAGUGGUUUUGUGAACAUAUCUGCAAGCUGAUCUUCAGAUCUGCAAUAGACCAACUUAACUUCGCCACUUUGUUGCACCUCAUGCAAAAAGAAAAAUUUGACUUUGAAAUGCUUGGUUUUGCCAUGGAAAACUGGAUUCUGAGAUAUUGCUAACGCCGCCUGAUUAUCCACAUUAACUUCAAUGCAAUCACUAGAAUUCAACCACAGAUCCUUCAUUAUCUUUUUCAGCCACAAAGCUUGAUUUGCANNNNNNNNNNNNNNNNNNNNNNNNNNNNNNNNNNNNNNNNNNNNNNNNNNNNNNNNNNNNNNNNNNNNNNNNNNNNNNNNNNNNNNNNNNNNNNNNNNNNNNNNNNNNNNNNNNNNNNNNNNNNNNNNNNNNNNNNNNNNNNNNNNNNNNNNNNNNNNNNNNNNNNNNNNNNNNNNNNNNNNNNNNNNNNNNNNNNNNNNNNNNNNNNNNNNNNNNNNNNNNNNNNNNNNNNNNNNNNNNNNNNNNNNNNNNNNNNNNNNNNNNNNNNNNNNNNNNNNNNNNNNNNNNNNNNNNNNNNNNNNNNNNNNNNNNNNNNNNNNNNNNNNNNNNNNNNNNNNNNNNNNNNNNNNNNNNNNNNNNNNNNNNNNNNNNNNNNNNNNNNNNNNNNNNNNNNNNNNNNNNNNNNNNNNNNNNNNNNNNNNNNNNNNNNNNNNNNNNNNNNNNNNNNNNNNNNNNNNNNNNNNNNNNNNNNNNNNNNNNNNNNNNNNNNNNNNNNNNNNNNNNNNNNNNNNNNNNNNNNNNNNNNNNNNNNNNNNNNNNNNNNNNNNNNNNNNNNNNNNNNNNNNNNNNNNNNNNNNNNNNNNNNNNNNNNNNNNNNNNNNNNNNNNNNNNNNNNNNNNNNNNNNNNNNNNNNNNNNNNNNNNNNNNNNNNNNNNNNNNNNNNNNNNNNNNNNNNNNNNNNNNNNNNNNNNNNNNNNNNNNNNNNNNNNNNNNNNNNNNNNNNNNNNNNNNNNNNNNNNNNNNNNNNNNNNNNNNNNNNNNNNNNNNNNNNNNNNNNNNNNNNNNNNNNNNNNNNNNNNNNNNNNNNNNNNNNNNNNNNNNNNNNNNNNNNNNNNNNNNNNNNNNNNNNNNNNNNNNNNNNNNNNNNNNNNNNNNNNNNNNNNNNNNNNNNNNNNNNNNNNNNNNNNNNNNNNNNNNNNNNNNNNNNNNNNNNNNNNNNNNNNNNNNNNNNNNNNNNNNNNNNNNNNNNNNNNNNNNNNNNNNNNNNNNNNNNNNNNNNNNNNNNNNNNNNNNNNNNNNNNNNNNNNNNNNNNNNNNNNNNNNNNNNNNNNNNNNNNNNNNNNNNNNNNNNNNNNNNNNNNNNNNNNNNNNNNNNNNNNNNNNNNNNNNNNNNNNNNNNNNNNNNNNNNNNNNNNNNNNNNNNNNNNNNNNNNNNNNNNNNNNNNNNNNNNNNNNNNNNNNNNNNNNNNNNNNNNNNNNNNNNNNNNNNNNNNNNNNNNNNNNNNNNNNNNNNNNNNNNNNNNNNNNNNNNNNNNNNNNNNNNNNNNNNNNNNNNNNNNNNNNNNNNNNNNNNNNNNNNNNNNNNNNNNNNNNNNNNNNNNNNNNNNNNNNNNNNNNNNNNNUGUAGGUUGUUUUUCGAACUGUGCUGUUCUGCACUCUUUCCUUCCAUCCAAAUCACUCAUCUCCUCUAGAAAAACAACAUAUCUGCUUACAGUCACUUUCUCUGUCAUAGGGUGAAAAAUUCUGUAAGCCUUUGAUUGGAGACUGUACCCAAUGAAGAUUCCAAGCUCUGCUUUCUUAUCCCAACAUGUCCCUCUUGACCUCAGGAACAUGAGUGUAACACAAAUACCCAAAAACCUUCAAAUUUUUCACAGAAGGUUUAACACCAUACCAGACUUCAAAAGGUGUUGACCUCUCUAAGGCCUUUGUGGGCAAUCUGUUCAACAGGAACACUACAGUAUUAGCUGCUUCAGCCCAGAACUUCUUAGGCAACAUCUUCUCAUGCAUCAUACAUCUGGCCAUCUCCAUAAUACUUCUGUUUUUCCUCUCACUGACCUCAUUCUGUUGAGGUGAAUAGGGAGCAGUGAACUGCUGCACAAUUCCUGCUUGCUCACAAUUCAACUUAAACUUGUGAGCAGUAUACUCAGAACCAUUAUCAGACCUGAGCAUUUUAAUUUUCUUCCCACUCUGAUUCUCAACUAAGGCUUUAAACUUCACAAACACAUCAGCAACUUCAGACUUGGCUCGCAGAAAAUAAAUCCAACUCAUCCUAGUCAUAUCAUCAGUGAAGGUAAUGAAAUACCUGCUACCAUUGAGAGAAGACUCAGACAUAGGUCCACAUAGAUCUGUGUGGACUAAUUGCAGCUUCUCACAUGCUCUCCAGCCUCCUCCUUUGAAAGGAAAUAUGACUUGCUUGCCAAGAAGACAAGUUCUGCACUGUGGAAAUUCCUCCUCCAAACUUGGCAAGUCAUCUGCCAAGCUAUUUCUCUGCAUAAACGACAUGCUCUUCCUGUGAACAUGCCCAAGUCUUUUAUGCCAUAUCUCUGCAUUUUCUUCUUUGCACUUUAAAGCCAUUUGUUGCAUCUCUUGUGGCUUGAACAUGAAACUCUUGUCCUUCAUUGGGAUUCUUAGCACUUCUUUGCUAUCUGCAUUAUUAAUAAGACAUUCCUUCCCUUCGAACUUCACUUUAUAGCCCUUCUCAACUAAUUGACCAACACUUAACAAAUUAUGGUCAAUAUUUGGCACAAAAAGAACAUCACUGAUCAGCUUCACCUCCUGAUUUCCUUCAAUAGCCACUGUACCCUUCCCUUGCACUUCGAUAUACUGUCCGUUGCCAAUUCUGACUCUGGACCUGACUGACCUGUCUAGAAUCCUAAACAGCUUCGAAUUGCCAGUCAUAUGAUUGGUACAGCCACUAUCCACCAACCAUGCAUCAUUCCCAAUAGAAGAUUCAGAAAAAAGAAGCUACAAACAAGUGCUCUUCCUUAGUUUCAUUCACUGCUACCUGGGCUUUUCCUGCUUGCUGGUAAUUUUUUUUCUUUGCAGAUGGCUUCCAUGUGACCCAACUUGUGACAUGUUCUGCAUCUAGCAUCAGGCUUUCUCCAACAUCUAAAAAACUGAUGAUUAGUUCCACCACAGUAUUGACAAGGCUUUUUGUUCAUCUUCCAUUUGCUAGACCCACCAAAAUUUCCUUCUUUUGCUACAAACUUGGAGUCACCAGGAUUUUCUCUAGACUGAAUCCAUUUCUUCCCUUUGCCUCCAUCAUUUGACUUCACUUUAGCUUGCAGCGCACCCUCUACAAACUCUUCUUUUCUCAUCAAUCUUCUGUGCUCCUGUGCCUGCAGAGCAUUUAACAAUUCUGCAAGCUUUAUAUCAGCUAAGUCUCUUGUAUUUUCCAGAGAUGCUAUGGUGGCUUCGAACUUCUCUGGAAGAGACACCAGGAUCUUCUGAACAAGCCUUUCAUCCUUCAAGGCAGUCCCUAAAACUCUGAUUUUUUCAGCUAUCCCAACCAACCUAUCAAAGUACUCCUUCACUGACUCUGAAUCCUUCAUCUGCUGUCUCUCAAACUCCCUCAAGAGAUUCAGCACCUUCAUGCCUCUUAUCUUCUCAUCUCCCUCGUAUUCAUCCUUCAAGAAAUCCCAUAUUGCCUUUGCAGAAUCACAUCUCAUGAUCCUUGUGAAGAUAGUGGGUGAAACAGCAGCGUACAGGCAUGACUUUGCCUUGGCCUUCCUUGUGAUUCUCUAUUUAUGGUACUUUAUCUGAUUCAAGGUCGGAUUGUCUGGAAGUGGAGCAACCUCAUAAUCAUCUACCACAGCCUCCCAUAAAUCAUGACCCUCCAAGAAUGCCGUCAUCUUGACAGCCCAAGCCUGAUAAUUUUCCCCAGAAAAGACUGGAGUUGCCAUUGCAGAGAAUCCACUCGAUCCUGCCUCCAUCAGCUUUUUCUUUGCAAAUCGGAAGCAAUCUUCACUCAAUUACCCUCACUUCACAGUCCCUUAAGAUCCCACAAACGCUCUGAUACCAAUGUUAAAACUCAUAAAAACAACAAUCAAAACAGAAAAAUUUCUGUUUUUGAGAGAGAGAAAAGAUAUAAAAAAAAAAAAAAACAGAGCACUUCAUACGUCUUGUGCUUAAAAAAAACUGUCGAGUACAACCACUAAAUACAAAACAAAAACUGCUCACGUACGUGCAACACAUAACUGCACACAAACGUGCUAUUAACUUCCUAGAAAAUAGCAAAAACACUAAAUACGUAACUAAAUGAACUUGGCUGUUUUUUAAUAAAAAAACAGAGUAAAACAGAGUAAAAAGAAAACUGAAAACAGCAGAAAACAGAGACAUUAUAAUCCAACAAUUCUACAUGUAUAUAGUGGUAGAUAUAUCCAAUAUGACCUCACUACAUACAUCCAAUUUCCACUCUGGAAAACGUAAUUAAUUGUUUAGGCUUGUUCUUCACUACUUAUUUUUCCUCCAAUUGCCUUCACGUUACCUCUUUUGGAAGCAUUCAGUUGAUCUACAUGCAUUGUUUGGACAUGAAGAAAUGUUUUAAUAGUUCAGUUUUCAUAAAAAUAGACCAGCUCGAGAUUAUCAAUGGUGUGUGUAUAUGUAAUCUUGUGUACUCAAACUAGCUAAACUCGAAUGAUAUUCCAAUUUCGAUCUAAAAUACCAUUGCCGGAUAAUUUUAAUGGAAUGCCAUCAAAUUGUUUUCCCCUAAUGCUGCGUUAAAGUACGUAUUGCAUAACUUAGAUACAUUUACCCAAAAUCAUUCCGAAAAAAAUAUAUCAGGACAAAUUCAGAAGCUUUAUAGGCGUUAAUCGUGGAUUAAUAUAGUUUCGUUUCAUUCUUAUUAGAACUAUAUAAGGAAUUUAUUUCUUCACGUGGGAAGCAAACUCUGCCUUUUUUAGUCAAUUGUUGACUUCGCUUUUGAUUAAUUAGACAUAACUAAAUUUAUUUUUGCUCAAGGUUUGCUGUUUGACAUAUAAUAUCAAAAAUAUAUUUCAAAACUUCACCACUACAUAUUUACAAUACCCCGCAACAUUGCACGAGAAGUAGCAACCAUGUGCGGUUCACAUUCCCGUCUGAGCACCUGGGAAAGCCUACUCUCAUCUAAUACUGUACAAUUAAAUUAGGUCAGUAUAUCCAACUUCCAUGAUUUUAGGUAUGUGAAUGUGAAUACACCAGUUGCCAAAUGAAGGACACGAAAGAAAAAGGAAAUAAGUUAACCACACGGGCAGGAUUGAGAGAUGUGUAUUUUUGCAAGCUACGUAAUGUCUCCGAACAUAUAGUCAUGAGAUACGGUCCGCAAACAAAUGUAAGACCAUACAGUAUCCAUUUUCCCAUUUGGGACACAAGAUCAACUAGGUAUAUUGCUACAUUACUCAAUUGCAUUCAUUUAACUAUAUGGUAAUUUAUUGUGGGAUGGCAUACACAUUGCAUCGUAUAAUGUACAUGGAAAUAUCAAUAUUGUUAUCAGUACCCACAUGAUCUCAUGAGAUAAUAUUUUGAACAAUCUUCUAAAUCUUCUUGAUAUAUAUGCCAUGCACUUGGUACCAAACUAAAAAGCAUUCCGCAACUCUCCCGCUAUAUAAACAUAGUGGACUCGCUAUAUUACCAUAUUUACGAGCUUUUGGAGAAUCAAAGUCGAAUGUCAUUCAACAACAGGGGAUCGAGAAGCAAGAAAAACAUAUUUAGCAAAGAAUGGAACGUGCUCAAGGGGAAAUGGGGAUCUCGAGAAGCCUCGUUGAGCAGGACCUAUCGGGACGCCGCCACGUCACCGGUGAGCUCACUAGCAGAGCCCCAACGGAACUAUCGGUGGAGUCUCAGCGGAGAUCCUCGAGCGUCAGCCAAAGCGACGACCAUUAUCACAAUUCUGGUGAAGACGAUCCAUGGCGAGCAAGCUACAAGCAUGGCGCUCUCGCCUAUUCUGGUGAUUACGAUCAAGGGUGAGUGAGAUCAUACCCGUGACCACCCCAGCAGGAAUAUGAUUAUUCUUAUCACACUAGCAAGGGCAGUAUUAUUCUCAGGGUCUUGACAAUGUCAAUAGUUACGUCCGCGACGACGCGUCUGUUCCAUCAUACCUGCCCCGCAUACCUCUUAUGGUUAUCACCAUCCAUCCGAGUCUCCCCCGAAUAAUUGCUUGGUGAUGUGAGAUGCCUAAUAUAGUGUGGCUAUAGUUGCUAUUUACUAAUAUCUGGUGAAGUACGUGAUGAGCUAGGGGCAUGGUUGAGCCAUUGGUUUGUUAGCUUUCGCUUGUGACUCUCAGUGAAGUUUCUUGUUUUAGUCAAUGGUUUCGAACGUGAUGGAGUUUGAUUGAAAUCGCUUUGAAAUCACGAGCGAGGAACGGCCUCACCUGGGCGAGGCCACCCUUGCCCUGGGGGAGGCAGCCCUUUGCGGCCAUUUGCAAGGGCUCAAUGACUUCGUCGGCCACAGGCAAAGGUGGCCUAACAGGCCCUUGUUGGCCAUUACUAGCGGCCGGCAAGAUCAUUGAACCCUUGCAAAGAAAAAAGAAAAGAAAAUUUGGAUGAAAACUUUUUGACCAGUUGAAAAAUUUAGCCGGCCGACGACCGCCGAAGUUAGACUCUUAUUUGAAAUAACAAUGGGUACAUCAGGCCUUUAUUUAAAAAAAAAAUGAAUGCCACUUCAAGUCCUUAUUUGGAACAAGAUCUAUUUGGAGUCUUUAUUUGAGAAAAUGGCACACUUCAAGCCCUUCUUUAAAAUUUUCCCUUUAUUUUAUUUUAGGUUGCAAUUCUUGCCCGUGGAAUGAACUAAAAUAUACUCUUUUUCUCUCUCUCUUUUUCCCACUUAAAAAAGCCGCUUGAUGAAAUAUUAUUUAUCUUGAGCAAAUGCACCUUGAAUCAAAAGGGGGAAAUGACUUCGCAUUUCUUCAGAAGUCUUCCAAACGCAGGUGCUCAUGUCAACAUUUGCAUCAAGAUUUCUAACGUUUCGUUUCGAAAAAUUAUAGUUACUGCGAUUUUUCUUUUCGUAUUUUAUAAAAAAAAAAAAGUCAAAACGGCGCAUCACGUUGACCCAUCAUCAGUCCAUGCAUGCCGAUCAGCAGGCGCUGUCCCUGUCCCGACCUCAUCGUCACAAGGGAAGAAUGUGAACCAAGCGAUCAACCAUCGAUCUUCGAAGGAGAAGACUUCACACAUCGGCGCUUCUUCCGUCGGGCGAUCGUCCUCACUUCCUCUCCAAUCUCUUCCCAGCUUCCUCCUGCAUCCUGAAAAUCCCUAUGGCGGGGGCGCUCGUCGGCGGAGCAUUUCUCUCGGCUUUCCUCCAGGUGCUCUUUGACCGGAUGGCCUCCCGCGAAGUCGUCGACUUCUUCCGGUCACGCAAGCUCGACAAGGGGAGGCUGCUGCAGAAGCUGAAGGCCGCGCUCCUGUCCGCGAACGCCGUGCUGGACGACGCGGAGGAGAAGCAGAUGACCAACGACCACGUCAGGGAGUGGCUCGACGACCUCAAGGACACCGUGUACGACGCCGACGACCUGUUCGACGAGAUCGCCACUGAAGAUCUGAAGCGUGAAGCCGGGGUCGAGCCUCGGGCUCUCGUUUGUAAGGUCUGGAGCUUCGCUGCAGACUCUCGUAGGAGGAAAUUGGGGGAUGAUUUAGAGAGGGUUCUGGAGAGAUUGGAGAGCGUAGUGAAGCAGAGAGAAGUGCUGGGCCUAAGGGAAGGUAUUCGCGAGAGGACGGCUAGAGCUUUGCCGACCACUUCGUUGGUCGAGGAAUCGGGAGUUUUCGGGAGGGAGAAGGACAGGGAGGCGGUGAUCGAGUUGCUCUUGUCAGAUCGGGGCGAAAAGAACACCAGCGUGAUGGCCAUCGUUGGGAUGGGCGGUGUCGGUAAGACCACGCUAUCUCAGCUUGUGUACAACGAUGGUGUGGUGAAAGGGAGUUACGAGUUGAGGGCGUGGGUUUCCGUGUCCGACCAAUUCGACAUCUGCAAGCUGACGGCCACGGCUCUCGAGGAGUUCUCCUCCUCGUCUAAGAAGGAGACCGAAAAUCUCAACCAGCUUCAGCUCCAGCUGAAGAACUUCUUGACAGGGAAGAAAUUCCUAUUGGUGUUGGAUGAUGUUUGGAAUGAGGACUUCAAUAUUUGGGAUGCGUUCCUAGUUCCUUUUACCUAUGGAGCAAGAGGCAGCAAAAUCGUCGUGACGACACGAAAUGAGAGCGUCGCAUUGGUUGCUCGUGCCGUCUCGACAUACCCUUUACAGAAGUUGCAAGACGAGGAAUCUUGGGACUUGUUCGCAAAAAAUGCGUUUGACCAGCAUAACUUCGAGGCACGCACGGGACUUGAAGAUAUCGGGCAAAGAAUUGUAAAGAGAUGUGAUGGAUUGCCUCUUGCGCUGAAGACUAUAGGUAGCUUGUUACGCUGUGUGUCUGAUAUCAGGAAGUGGGAAAUAAUUGCAGAGAGUGACAUUUGGGAUUUGGCACCUGGAAAGUAUAAAAUUCUCCCUGCGUUGUUGUUAAGUUAUCAUUACCUUCCUCCACAACUGAAACGAUGUUUUGCUUAUUGUUCAAUCUUCCCAAAGGAUUGUAGAUAUGAGAAGGACCAGCUGAUCUUACUUUGGAUUGCUGAGGGCUUGAUAAAACAACCUAACGACAGCAGGACAUUGGAGGAAGUAGGUGAUCAGUGCUUCUGUGACCUUGUGUCUAGAUCUUUGCUUCAUAGAGUAAGUGAUAUCGAAUUGAGCUUCUCGAUGCAUGACCUGAUCAAUGACUUAACGAGAUAUGUAGCUGGUCGAUCUUUUUUUAGCUUGGACGGAGGCAAUGCACACCAGGUGUCCUUGAGCACUCGCCAUUUGUCAUUUGUAAGAACUCAAUAUGAUGUCGCUUCUAGAUUCAGAGUGUUAGCCAAGGCAAUGAAUUUGCAUACUUUCCUACCGCUAAAUGUGGGUCAUGUGAGAUUAGGCGAGUGCUCUUGGUUGACUGAUGAGGUAUUGCAUGUUCUGUUGCCGACCCUGAGACGGUUAAGGGUGCUAUCUUUGUCUCAUUAUCAUAAAAUCUCUACGUUGCCCAGUUCAAUUGGACGUUUGAAGCAUUUGCGCUAUUUGAAUAUCUCCUAUAAUACAAGUCUACACAGAUUGCCUGAUUCAGUUACUGCUCUAUACAACCUGCAAACCUUAAUUCUUGCUCACUGUUGUUCUCUCAUUGAGUUACCGAGCAACAUGGGCAGCCUGACCUGUCUGCGUCAUCUUGAUAUGAGGGGGACAUCCCUGAAGAGAAUGCCAUUGGGGAUGAACAGACUGAAGAAUUUGCAGACAUUAACUAAUUUCGUGGUGGCGGAAAACGGUGGGACCAGGGUUAGGGAGUUAGGGGAGCUUGGGAAUCUUAUGGGUACACUCUCCAUAGAGGGUUUGCAGAAUGUUGAUAGUUACCGAGAUGCCGAAAUAGUCAAUUUGCAGGGAAAAAGGUACUUGAAAAAGUUAGUACUGCAAUGGGGUUCCGAUAACAAUAUCACGCAGCAAAAUUGCUUAAAUGUACUGGACAAGCUGCAACCUCAUUGGAACUUGAGAGAGCUUAUCAUUAUAUCCUAUAGUGGUAGGUCAUUUUCCAAUUGGGUGGGACAUGGUUCAUUCUCUAAUAUGUCAGUCGUGCGUCUUGAAUCUUGCAAGCACUGUGUGUCAUUGCCUCCUUUAGGACAGAGACCAUCUCUAGAGAAGUUGAUAAUCGAAGGAUUUGAUGGAGUUACAAGUGUGGGUACUGAAUUCAAUGGUAGUAACUGUAUACCUUUCCAGUCACUUAAGUACUUGGAAUUUGCUGACAUGUGCAGCUGGAAAGAGUGGGCUUGUUUUGCAAUAGAGACAGGAGGUCUUGCCUUUGCACAUCUGCAGGAGCUUCGUAUUAGAAAUUGCCCGCAGUUGAGUGGAGGUUUACCCAGCCAUCUCCCUUCUCUAACAGCCUUGUCCAUUGGAAGGUGCCCACAGCUAACGUCUUCUCUACCAUUUGCACCACUUCUCCGUGAGAUCAAUUUGGAUGAUUGUGGAAAGGUCUCUGGAGUUGAGCCCCUCCUAAAUGGCACUGAGUUACGAGAUAUGAAAAUCUGGAAUCUUUCAACCCUUCCCUUGAGGUUUCUUCCUCCUACCGUGACAAGACUCAGUCUUGAAGACAGUCCUGAAAUAGAGUUGCCAAUGCACAGAUGCCAUGAAUCUCUCCAAUAUCUAAACUUGAUGUGGAGCUGCAAUUCACUUAUAUCCUUUCCUCUGGAAAUUUUCCCCUUGCUUAAGAAUAUUCAGUUGGUGGGGAUUGAAAAAUUGGAACAUCUUUCAAAUUCAGACGGUUCACCACUUCUUCUCCAUUCGAUUGACAUUAGAUAUUGCCCUGAAUUUACAUCUUUCCCUGCGGGAGGAUUGGCUGCCCCAUGCCUCACUUCAUUAGAGUUGAAUGACUGCCGUCAUCUAAAGUAUCUGCCAGAAAACAUGCAGGCUCUCCUUCCUUCACUUCGGUCAUUGACAAUAUCCUCAUGUCCACAAAUCGAGUCAUUUCCUGAGUGGGUUUUACCCUCCAAGUUGGUCACGCUUUCACUCUCUAAUUGUGACAAGCUCAUCACUGGCCACAAGGAUUGGGGUCUUCAAUCACUAUGCUCUCUUAAAACUUUUGUCAUUAGGCGAGGGAAAAAUAUAGAGUCAUUUCCUGAGAUAGGGCUUCUGCCAACGUCUCUUACCUCUUUGGAUAUCUUUGGCUUUGAGAAUCUGACGUCCCUGAACUCCAAAGGGCUUCAUAGCCUGAGCUCCCUUGAAAACCUGUCCAUUGGCGAAUGUCCUAAGCUCCAUUCCUUCCCAAAAGAGGGACAAAUUCUGCCUGCUUCUCUUACUACUCUGUGGAUUUAUGAUGUGGGUCUAAAAUCACUGGAUAACUUAGGACUCCACCACUUCACUUGUCUCAAAGAAUUUCGCAUAGAUGACUGCCGAAGUCUUCGAUCCAUGCCAGCGGAGGGCUUGUCAUCCUCCCUUUCCAAUCUAUUUAUCCAUGGGUGCCCUUUGCUGGCGAAAAGAUGCCAGCGGAAGAAAGGGAAAGAUUGGCCCCUGGUUUCGCACAUUUGCUGCAUCGUGAUUGAUUUUGUGCUCAUCACAUGAUCGAAUAUCUUGCUUCACAAGCCCUCCUUUUACCAAUAUCUCACUCAGGUAUCUCCCUUGACCCAACACUAAGUAAGCCAUUUAUUUAUUCACAACAUACUUCAGUCGCUCUAUGGUCAAGCACUAACAUCUGGCUGUAUUUGCCACAUGCUACUCUAAUAACGCUCCCCAGUGGAGAAUAUUUGUAGUUUCACGGGCAUUCCAUUGUUGUUCCUACUAUUGGGCUGCAUAAUUUGUUUAUCGGUUGCCGAGUUAUUUAGCUGAAGCAUCUGCUUUUCCCUACUCCAUUCUCUCUAUAUAAAUCACACUUCCCUUCCUAUACUUCAGGUGAGCUUCUGUCAUGGUCUUUAUAGUUUCGCCCGGGAAAUGAUUAUUCAUUGCUACUUUUGUCGUCGUCAGACUAUUUCGGCUUUAAGAUCUCACUCAUAUCAUGAUUGUCAACACCUACAAAUGCCAACUUAUGGAACUGUUUGUGCAUGAGCUAACAAUAGUAAAUAGAGCAAAGAGAUUCAUGGCCAUCUAGAGAAGGCCUAGCCUUGAUUAGGCUAUCCAAAUGAAAUUAUUUUUUUCACGAACUCUAGCAUGUCCUCAAGUUAAAAAGAGAGUAAAUUUGCUCUUAUUAACAAAUGCUUUCUGUCGUGUUAAGCUGUAUAAUAUUGUGAGGGAGAUGUAAAUUCUUAAACCAGGCAUGACUCAUGACUGACCUGUAUUACGCUUGCCAGAAUAGUGUGGUAUCAUGGGUGGAGUGUAUUUCGUUUGCUUUGUACUUUAUUUGUCAAUUUCUACAUAACAUCACUCUAAAGUCGUACAGUUUAACAAUUUCCCUGCCUACAUGUAGAAUUCUUAUCCAUGGAAUGUGAAAAUGGAACAGUUUAAGAGAUGCGAGUGACCCGGCAUUUGGUAGUGGCAUAUCCACUUUUGUCACUAAUUAUAUCGUGACAUCAACUAAAUCCAUCAAACUGAAGGACUAAAAAAAGUAUGUAAAAGUUAGGUUUUUAUUUGUUGAAGUCAAAAGUUUGCAUCUCAAAAUGCAAUUCCAUCAAAAUAUAUGGACCUAUUGUAAUUUACCCUAUUUUGAGAGAAUAUUUUUUUCUUUUGAGGGAACUCAAGCGGUGUUAUGUGCACUAAUAAUUGAGGAGCUUCGGAGGAUGGAGAUAGAGCUGGAAAUGUAUUGCUAGCUUUUAGCUUGAUUAGAGUAUCCUUUAGUUGUUAAUACUUGUCUUUCAGUCAUUGCAAGUGGAGUGCUUCUAGAUGGGGCUAGACUAACUAAUGUUCCAAAAAUACACGAUGCAUCCACGAUUGGUAAUACAAGCACAUGCUGUGUUGAGAUGCACGUAUGAGUUAUGUUAGAAAAAGUCCAACGACGUGGGAUUAGUAUGGUGUGGAAUAGUUAAUAUAUCUUAGUCGGGCAUUGCUUUAAGCUUUUGAGUAAAAGUGGCCUAAUUGGAUGUGUUGAAAGGUUUGGACUUGGGCUCUCUCUUGGCUUCUGCUAUUCGCUCCCAAGCCAAUCGUUGAUUGAUGGCAACCUGUUGGUGCAAAAGAAUGCUUGGAUUAAGGGGGACAUAUAUUGAACAUUGAGCUUACACGUAAGAGGGAGAUAAAAAUUGAUGUGGUGUAGAGUACUUAAUAUAUCUUAAUUGGCUCAUGAUUUAUUGGCUUAAGCUUUUGAGUAUAUGUUAUCUUCAACUAUAUCUAUUGAUGGGGUCAAUCUUGGGUUCUUUCUUGGCGAUCUCUCAUGUAAUGGUAUCAGGUUUCUACUAAGCUUUACCGGCAUGCUGUAGUGAAUGUCGGAUGCAGCUUUGGAUGGACCUAUUCUUCUCCCGCGAUAUCAAUAUAGUUUCAGUAACAAGGUUGUGGUGAAAAAAAGAAGGGUGCUUAGUCUUCACAAGACAAGCGGAUUAUGAGGAUCAAGAGCAGCAUAGGCAAUGAGAUGGUGGAAAUUGGCAAGGAAAACAAAUCCAAUUUUCACGCAGUCAGCAAACCAAGUGAUCGACUCCUAGAAAUGAAAGAAUCGAGGUCAAUAUAGAAGUUCCAAAAUUUCAUUGUUGGUUUGCAGCUUGCGAGAAAUUGUUUACCAAUGAGUGCAAGUGUAGAAGAGGCACACCAGUGUGAUUGCAACGUUUAGUUUGAUGCAGCGACAUGUCAUGUAAGAAGUACUUGCCUAAUGGUUUGGUUUGAUUGUUGUUUUUACAAGCUGAUACUUGUCGCAAUGGAGAAACAAGAAACCAUUCGAGGCGAAACGAGCCAACACGUGAUCUGGAAUUGUACAUCCCAGGUCUUUGAUGUUGUAGCAUGGGAAUUAAGGAUCAUAUCUGAAACUGAUGAUGGGCAUGAGAUGAGUGGGUUAUGGAGAGAUUGUUUGAUACAGCUUUUGGAUGGUAGCUAUGACCGUAAAACUGGAUGCUUCCGCUUUCGCAAGGUAACAUCUCAAAGCUAUCAUCUGGAAAUAGAAAGCCAUCCCAUCUAGCUUUUAGCUGCUACUGUGUGUUACCAAAUGGGAUGGUGGAAAUCGGCAAGAAAAACAAAUGCAUUUUUCAUGCAGUCAGCAAGCCAAGUGAUCGGCGCUUGGAAAUGUCAGAAUCGAGGUCAAUUAGGAGUAUCGAAAUUUCAUUGUCGAUUUGCAGCUUGUGAGAAAUUGUUAACAACAAGAGCAAAUGUAGGAGGGGCACUCAAAUGCGAUUGUAACGUUUAUUGUAACACAGCGACAGUGUAACACAACGACAUGCCGUGUGAGAAGUACUUGCCUAAUGGUUUGGUUGGAUUGUUGCUUUUUUCAAGCUGAUACUUGUCAAAGUGGAGAAACAAGAAAGAAUUCAAGGUGAAACGGAGCCAACGCAUGAUCUGUAGUUGUACAUCCCAGGUAUUCAAUGCUGUAGCAUUGGAAGCAAGGAUCGUAACCGAAACUGAUGAUGGGCAUGAAAUGGGUGGAUUAUGGGGAGAUUGUUUGAUACAGCUUUUCGAUGGUAGUUGUGUUAGUACAACUGGAUGCUUCCGCUUUCACAAGGUAACAUCUCAUAACUAUCAUUUGGAAUCAGAAAGCUGUCCCGUCUGGCUUUCAGCUGUUGCUGUGUGUUUACAAAUGAUCGCACUAUGAUUAUACCACACGGGCCCUGAGUGGAGCUUCAUAGCCUAUAUAGGAUCAGGAGGGGUUGGAGAAUUGAUUGGGUGAUACGUCUCUCUUUGGUUGAGUGGUUCUUCUCUUCUUCAAAAGCACCUCUAGUUCUCUGGGACAGACUUAAGCAAAGAGAGAAUAACUCGUGCAUGCAAGCAUGACCCAUUUCGUGCUAUAGGAGGAUGUGACAUAUAAUGAGUAAGUGAAUUUCGGGGUCAUGUACGAGUCCGACUUAUUUAUCAUGUUUGAGUUUGAAGUCGUCGAAUGUACAUCAAAAGUAGCCGCGUAUGUACAUAUAAGGACGAGCAUUCUGAUUUGUAUGUAUCACAUAGUUGAGAAAGAUGAAUAAAAUAACCUUCAUUUCCAAUUUCAAAAUUUCUAAAGACGUCAUUACUCGACAUGGAGAACCAGCACAAAAACCUUGUGCCUACGGAAGAUAGACAAAUAUUUUGAAAUGAUGUAGUGUAUUAUACUAAUCAACACCGACACAACUAGCAGUGGAUGCUGAUCCUCAUUUAACCCACAAAUUCACGAGUGAGAAGGGGAGUUGAAGCAUCUAAGACAGAAAAACUAACUGGCUUGCUAAAUGAUUUGGAUAUAUAGACAAACAAGAAUUGUGAUCUUCAUAUCACUAGCGUUCAUCCAACCAAAAUAACAACAGCAACUUGGACGCGGAUCAAGAAAAAAGACCUACUGCGAGACAAGGUACAGGACAGACGGGAGAGAGAGAGAGAGAGAGAGAGAAGGGGGACGUAAACUUAGCUGGCGGCAGCGGCAGUGGGACGCGCGAACCAGAGAGAGGUCAAAGAAGAUACCCAAGAAGGGGGGGAUUAUAUAUAGGAGGCUCGCGGGCUUCGAUUGGUCCGCCGGGAAAACGAAUAUUCCCAUAAUCUUUUUUUGGGGGUGUAAUUUGGGGGUUUAAUUAACUAGGAUGGAUUUUGCUUAGGCGUGUUCCGAUCUAUAAAACACUGACACUCUUUUAAAGUUUUUGUGUUGUGUCGGAUAUUUCGACACGUGUAAAAUACUCUCAGACACUUUCCGACACUCGGUCAACACGUGUCGGAAAAUUCGACACCUAGUCAACUUUCUUGACACUCUCCGAUACUCGAGUCGAAAUUUUGACAUACGAGUUUUCGACACGUGAUUUCGAUAUCAAGGUCAAUUUUAAAAUUUCAAUAAAUGAAAUGUCAAAAUAUAUAUGUGAAAAAACACAAUAAUAAAAAUAAUAAAUGGAAAAAGAAGAAAGACCUAGUAUUAUCUUCUCUUUUCACUCUCAUUUUCCGUGAUACACAAUUCACUACUUAAGUUUUUUUCUUCUCUUUCAACAUAUCUAACAUGUGAGUCCAAAAUAUGGAUCGCUUGUUUUUUCUCCAAAUUUUAUGAAUUAUUGAAAUAGAGUUAAAUAUAUCAAAUUGAAACAAUAAGUGAUACUAAUAAAUGGCGGAUUCAUGUUUUUAGCGUAUAUUCAUUCUAGGCUUUUCUAAAAAAUCAAAUUAAUUUGAUUGAAAUAACCAUAAAAAUGAUAAUUUAUUAUGUAUAUAUAAAAAUAUAUAUUUAAUAUACAACGUGUCCCAACGUAUCGAAAUUUUCUUUUUUUUUUAUAAACGACGUGCUGGCAUGUCGUGUCGUGUCUCGUGUCGCAUGUCAGUGUCGGUACUACUUAGGUACCGAUUACCCAAUCACAUUCGAAAGUGUAAGAUUAUAUUUCUUUCUAAAAAGAAAAAAAAAACUGAAAAAUUACCUUUUUAACGAAUCGAUAAAAGAAGAAAAUACAUGAAAUUCUUGAGGAAUGAACGAAUUUGGAAAUCUAUAUCGGAGAUGUGGAGGAAUCGAGAGAUCCUCUUCUGAUUUUAUUUUGUCGGUGGUUUUUUCUAUCUUUUUAUUUACCGAUGGACAACUAAUAUCCGACUUAAUCUAUUUAUAAAAUCUCUCUACUUUUUGCUUUUUAGUACUUGUGUUACCCUCUUUCUUUACGCGACCGUGUAACCAUAAUACAGGGGGGAACAGAUGUUCUUAAAUUUAAAUUGUUUUUGGUGGGGGAGGGGAAGAAUGACGUCAUGGCGCACGUCUGAUGUGGCGUGGGAUUGGUCGGAUCUCAUCGUCGUCGCGGUAGUUGGUGGUGCUGCCCAUGAAAAUGUAAUGCGCACGUUGUUUGGGACAUUAGCCUCAGCGGUCAUGUGGUCUGAUACUUGAAUCAAAGGCAAGAGCUACUAAGCGAGUUCCCGUUUCUUAUAUUCUCCACGGAUAGAUCUGAUAGAUCGCAGCUACCUAAGGCGCUUUGAAAGAAGUGGCCCCUUAGGCCGAGAAAGGAUUGACACCUCCUUCUCUAGCUUACAGCCUGCUUAUAGCUGCCCAUCAUCGUUCCGCCUGCUGGCCUAUUGGGAUUCACGGCUUGCUGAACCACGAAACGAAAAAGAGCUCCGGAUCAAGGAAAAGCCACAGGCCAAUGCCAAUCUCUUAGGGCAAGUUCUCUUUAAUCCGUCUUUGUAACAUCUGCUGAUGUACCUCAUAACUGGGCUGUACAUACAGGGAGCUCUCUACAGUAUCUAUGCUACCUGCUAGUUCCUGUGGCCCAUAGCAUCACACUUUACAGAGCAAGCAAAAACCGUGGGUUUGACCGGGUCAAACAUCGGACGUUGGAUCUUCUUGGGAUACAUCCCCCCUAGAAUAAUGCACGCGAGCGCCAAGUUGUGAUAUGGAGAGUUAUUUAUUUUAAUGUUUUCUGUUUUGAGACAUUAAUUUCCUGAUACCUUUUAAUUUUCGUAAAAAAGGACUUGUGCAAUGGAAAUUAGUCGGGAUGUGUGAAAUACGGGCUAAAUCUUGGAUUUCUGAAAUUGAAAUUGGAUGAAAAGAAAAUGCAAGUGAUUUGAUGAAAUGGAUAGACAUUUGGAAAUUGACGGUGAAAAUAUGUAGGUGGGCUCUUGGUGAGAAAAUAGGGAUAGAAAUCAAAGUGGAUAGUGGAUUUGGGGAUUGCAAACAUUGCAUCAUGAAAUAGUACUAGAAAAAUGAUUAUUGCAAUCCGUUUAUUCCACAAUUUUGAUGUCAAUUUAGCAAAUUAGUCCAUUAAUAUUGUGGCACGUGUCAUGCAUGAGCCCACCUAUCAGUCACCAUCUUCCCACUCUCUCCCUCCUUCACCAUCUCUCUCUCUCUCUCUCCUCCCCCCCCCCCCCCUCUUUUUGACCCUUUUUCCCUUCUCCAACCUCGAGCCCAAGCCACCGCCAUUGUCGGCCAUAGUGAAGAGCACGCUCGGAGUCUCUGGCGACAAGCUUGCCGCCGAUGGAUGCCUAUCCCUUUGCGCACCUCGCGGUGGGAAACCUUGAGCCAAAGAUCCCUAUCGCUGCCAAGCUCACCCACUUUGCCAUCUGCCCAUUGUCCUCUCCCCGCUUCUAUAAUAGUUUCGUUAAAUGGAUGCUUCUGUAAUAGUUUCGUUAAAUGGAUGGGAGAUGGCAAGAAAUUUUGCAAAGCGAGAAAAGCUCGAGACUUUUUGUUUUUGGAAUGAUUAUUUUUUAAGUGUGAAUGUAUGACGUGCCUAUGACACACCCGCAUUGAGAAAAUAUCAAGUGAGAGCAAGAUUUGAUGAGAAAUACUUCAUUAAACCUCUUAAGUUGCAUCCCAAAGAUACUAAAGCCCAAAAUAUGGGGGCAAAAACAAGAGGAAAUAGAAAGAAGCAGGAGAAAGAAGUCAAAUUUGUUCUUAUUUUUUAAAACCCAUACCCGUAUGAAGCCCAUUGAUCCUCAUCUUGGGCCGGGAGAGACCCGCCGUUCACCCGACCCGACUUGAUUUUCUUCCUCUCAUGUUUUCCCGGGAAAACCUUCUUCCCCUCUCUAGCUUUCUCCGGGAAAAUUUUCCGAUCCGUUGCAAACCGUUCAUCGUCUUCCGUUCUGUAACAGAUCUCGACGACCUGCGAGGCUUCGAUGGAGAUUCGCAUCGGAAGAGGCUACGCGUGGGCCAUCGCCGCCGGAUUCAUGGCCGCUCUCGCCGCCAUCUCCGCCAAGUUCUUCUCCUCUCAGGUAACCCAACCUCAUCCGCGCGCUUGUCCGU